ensembl:lncRNA
CGCGCCCCCCGCACGGCACGGUCCGGCGCGGCACGGAGGGAGGUUAUCGGGCGCGGGGGGAGGACUGAGGCUGGCAAGGUGAGAGCUCGGAUUGCCGGAGUGCCGGGAGGAAGCUGCCAUUUGUGAGCUGUGAGUGACGAGCGUGUAAUUUCAGCACCACUAAUGGACACUUAUUUUUCAUCAACUGGAGGAAAGAUGGGAAGGCGGAAGGAAACAAAUGAUCAUUACAGGUUAACCAACACAGAAGACAGAAGGAGUAUCAGCAGGGAUGACAUGGAACUAAUGCCACACAGAGAAGCAACCAGUGUGCCCAAAACAUCUUGGCAAAACUGAUGUAUUCCCAGGCUGUGGGGAGAUUACAGUACAAGUUCCUAUGAGAAUAUAUUGCAGACUGUGUGCUAGGAAAGCACCUCCAUUGGGGAAAAUUUGCCUGUGGAACGAGAAAUACAUAAGCAGAAACUGGGAACUGAAGAAAUGUUGUUAAGAUUGCCAGUCAGAAACAAUGUUCAACAUGGAGAGAGCAGGAAGAAGCUUGAUACAGAAAAAGAGAGGCAAUGUUAAAACAGUACGUAACAAAAAGGAAAGUUGAAAUUUUGGAGCAUCCUUGAACCAUUCUUCUGUCUUACAUAGCCUUUGGAGCAAAACACGUUUCCUCAGAUUUGUUAGGUUUCUUUCCUGUAGAACCUAUAUGCCAUUACAGAUGGAGUAACAGGUUCUUUAAUCUCUUCAUAACAAAUACGCUGCUCUUUUUAGAAAGUUAAAAUUGUAAUAGUUUGAUCUUUUUAGAGGCAGACUGAAAUUACUAGGCUAACAAAUAUUUCAGUAGCAAAUAUCUAAGUUUAAAUUACUGAGAUUUUUACAUCUGGAAGUUACAAGAUCAAUCAUGAUAGUUGAACAUGAGAAUUUUUGUGAUAUGUUUCAAAUUCUACUGCACUAUCAAAUACUAUCACUGAACAGAAACAACUCAUACAAUAUAAAGUACUGAUUGAAAAAUAGUGUUUCAAUUAUUUUUGUUAUACAAAAUGUAAAUAAUCGCUUUUACAUUAUUAAGUUUUCAACUUCCUUAAAUGUCUUUCACAGUUACUGUUAGAGCUGUGAGAAGUCAUUCUAAUUGAUACAAACAUUCAUCCUAUUUUACGUAAGAGAUUCUUAAUUUAAAUCAGCUUUUAAUUAUAAUUAGUGUUGAACUAAUACAAGUUACUAAAAAUCUGAGGUUCAGUGUCUUUUUUUUUGUUGAAGUUUGUAACAUCAUUGGUAAAUAUUCAGUUGUUUUUUCUUGUGCUAUUUACUAUUUUUUUUCUUUUUUUCCUUACCAAUCUCAAUCUUAUUGAUGAUUAUCUGUAGUUUUAAAAAUAUCAACAGAAGAUUGUGUCGCCAUUGACCAUGCAUAUAAUCUCUGUUCACAGGAAUUUAUUCCCAGAUGAUUUUGUGAGGGAAUCCAUAUGACUGUAUAGAUGAUUCCAUAUGAUUGUUUGCCAUACAUUGCUGUUAAAUGUUGAACUACAAAAUCCAGUCAGUUGUCUGAAUGAUUAGCAUUUUUUUUUCUAUAAUGAUGAAACAUGCACCACUACAUCAUUUGAAUUAACUUAUUGUUUUCCUAGCCUUUGUACUGUAUCAGCUCUUAGCAUUUACUCUUUUUUUCUGCUCUCACUCUUGCACUUGAUUUGUCUUAGUCUUGUCAUUGCUUAUCAAAAAAAAUUUUGCACAAGCAUUUUUAAUAAUGGCAGUGUUUGUGUCUGCAUUUAAAUGUCUAUUUAUUGUGUCUGCCAUCAUUGCAGCUGGAAGAUAAUCUCCAUUAAACAUCCCAUUUAAUAUUUUUCAAACUUUCUGAUACACGGUGGAGUGUAUUUAUUCAUGAAUAAUGCUUACUAAAUGAACAUAUCAGUAUAAGUCAUGCUGGGUACCAAAUCCUGCAUAUUAACUUACACAAUCAAGCUUAUAUUGCAAAUGAAGUAACUUUCCAAAAACACUUGGCAUUACUGGCAAGUCACCACAUACUCUAGAUGUUCUCAUAUGAAUUUUUCCAUAAAACAUUAAGUUGAAACUGACCUUGAAAAUGACUGUAUACUGAGAGAUCAAUUACUGUGAAUUUUAUAUUUCUUGGUAAUUAUGUGUUGCAUGGUAUAGGUUUUCUCUGCUGCCAUACAAAUACAGAGUAUGCACUUUCAAAUUAUAGUCCUCAUAAAUAACCCAGUGUCUGAAUUUACUGUAGUGAAAAAACUAGUCAUCUGAGCUAUGUAUGAUAAAGAAAAUAGUAAACAAGGAUGAUUAUUUUCAUUUACCUUUACAUCUGUAUUAGCAGACACCUAUAACGGAGCUAUUGGUGUAGACUUCUUUCAUUGUUAGUAGAGAAAAACAGAAGUCUAUAGCUGACCACAUCAAUUCCAUUGUCUACUGCCUAUUGAUCUCCACUGAAUAUAAAGAAAUAUUGAAAGUAUCGAGUUAAUAUACAGAUGUCUUAUAGAACUCCAGAGUUAGGUGAGAUGUCUCCUGACCACUUACUUAAGUGCUGUUGGUAUAAAUAUAUUAUGUUUCUAAAUUUUUUAUUGCUAUAUAUAUGUUUUAGCUAUUGCAAUGCAUUUGUCCUGUGCAAAUUGUUUAUCUGUUAUACUGUGUACUUUAUAAGGCUACAUGGCAGAACCUUCAUAUGUUUCCACCACACUGAUCAUUUUUUUUACCUCAGUGAUAUUAGUUCUUAAAAUAUAUUCAACUUUUCAUAGUUUACAUUAUUUUAGCUAGAACACAAGCUAUAAAAUUAAUAUUAUUUUCAAAAUAAAAUAUUCUUGGCAAUUCUGUGAAUACUAAAGAAUAUUAAUUUCAUGUACAUGUAAAUACAACUUCCUGAAAUCCAGAUGCAAUGAUGAUGCAAGCAAAUAGAUAUUUAAGAAAUGUGUAUUAAUAUAAAAUGAGUAGGAAUAUUUCAGAUAUAAUUUCUUUCCAAUAAAAAUUUCAUUAUUAUGAGGUGUUUAUUAAUUAUCAUCUACAAAAAAAGAAAAUUCACCUUGAAAGCAUCAAAACAAAAUGAAAAACACAAUUUUUCUGAGGUUGUCUGGCACAUCAAUAGUGUAUUUAGUUUUUCAGCUGCUUGCUGUUAUCACUUCCUUUUUAAGACUUUUUUUUUCUUUUUUUAGAAUCACUUAUUUUUGUUGUUUUGUAGAUUCUUUUUCCUUGUUUCCAAACUUCUCAAAGUUUCACUGAGGUGUGCAAUCAGAGUGAACAAAAAGAUUCACUCAGUUCUGGCUCAGCUGGGACAGUAUCUGCAGCUGGCAUCAAAAAUGUUGAGUAAAACUUGAAAAAAGAUGUUACUUUGUAAAUAAUGAGUAAGCUCUCCAGUGGAACUAAAAUCUUUAAAACAAGGUGGAAAUUUUUACCAACCCUGUUCAAUUGCAAUGGACUUUUCAGUAACUUUAUAUUUGUGCCAAUAUCUCAAGCCAUUAAUCUUGACAACUGCUGAUAUUUAAAAGAAAAGCCUUCAAUUGGAAAUUAAUAUCAAAUUGUGUUAAAGAUGAAAGUGGCAAUAUCUGCACAAAAUUAACAGAAUUCUAACUAAAAAAUGUUUUCUCAAAAACACUUUAAAAAAAAUCAAAACCAAAACAAGCAAACAACAACAACAACAAAAGACUUCCAGAUUUCCCUGUAGGAAAAAAAAAAUAGAUAUCUGUGUGACAUCACUGAAUUUUACGGAGUAUUUAAUUAGAGAAACCUUUAUGUUACCAAGGAAUAUUUUUGUUUGUUUUGUUUUGUUUUUUAUAUAUUUGCAGAAGAAAAUAAAGAUAUGAUUUCAUAAGCACGUAUUUCAAUGUUGUUUGCUAGCUAUUAAUGAAAUACAAUCAGGUAAUCUGGUAAAUGAGUGCUCAAAGCAGAUGAAAUUAAACAUCAAAAACACAUACUGAUGAGGGAGAAGGAUUUUUACCUUUCCAUGUUGUAGUGCUUUAUAUCACCAAGCUACCUUGUCUUCCCGUCCAGAGUAAGGUAAAGAACCAGGUAAACACGUCAAUAGAAAGCAGAAAUUUCAAUUAUACUUAUAAAAAAAUCAGCGUUUUCUAUUAUUUUGGUCUCAAUAAAUCUGUUUUCUUGUUACAAUUUCAAAAUGACUGAUCAGAGAAAAAUUUAGCAAAAGUAUUAGGCCAUAUCUAAUCUCAAGUUAAUUUAACGAUCAACAAUGCAGUAAUUUUAUGGUAGAUUUAUGUUGGUACCAAAGGCAAUAUGGCCUCCAAAUGUAUGAUUGUAUAUAUUAAUCUAUAUUUACGUGUACUUCAAAAUUGUGAUGAAAGUAUUGUGACUUGUUUAAUUAAAAGUUUAUUUCUA